CCCAGGGUAGCCAAGUGGUUCAAGGCAGCGGUCUGUAAAACCGUGUACCGAUGGUUCGAAUCCAUCCCCUGGGACCA
rnacentral:tRNA from 1 species